AGCGAACGCUGGCGGCAGGCUUAACACAUGCAAGUCGAACGCAUCCUUCGGGGUGAGUGGCAGACGGGUGAGUAACACGUGGGAACGUACCUUUUGGUUCGGAACAACUGAGGGAAACUUCAGCUAAUACCGGAUAAGCCCUUAUGGGGAAAGAUUUAUCGCCGAAAGAUCGGCCAGCGUCUGAUUAGCUAGUUGGGGAGGUAAUGGCUCACCAAGGCGACGAUCAGUAGCUGGUCUGAGAGGAUGAUCAGCCAAACUGGGACUGAGACACGGCCCAGACUCCUACGGGGGGCAGCAGUGGGGAAUAUUGGACAAUGGGGGCAACCCUGAUCCAGCCAUGCCGCGUGAGUGAUGAAGGCCUUAGGGUUGUAAAGCUCUUUUAUCCAGGACGAUAAUGACGGUACCGGAAGAAUAAGCCCCGGCUAACUUCGUGCCAGCCGCCGCAGUAAGAC
rnacentral:rRNA from 1 species